rnacentral:ncRNA from 1 species
ACAAGAAAUAAAGUAUUAAGUGAAUAACCGCUUAAUAGGGAAAUCCGGUGAAAAACCGGUGCUGCCCCGCAACUGUAAGGGAUUUUUAGAAAGCUGAUGACAAGGAAGCCACUGUUUUAGAAAAACGGGAAGGCGUCAUUAAGUAUCCCAAGCCAGGAGACCUGCUUAGUACGAUCAAUUAUU